rnacentral:rRNA from 1 species
CUACGGGACGCACCAGUGGGGAAUAUUGCACAAUGGGCGCAAGCCUGAUGCAGCCAUGCCGCGUGUAUGAAGAAGGCCUUCGGGUUGUAAAGUACUUUCAGCGGGGAGGAAGGGAGUAAAGUUAAUACCUUUGCUCAUUGACGUUACCCGCAGAAGAAGCACCGGCUAACUCCGUGCCAGCAGCCGCGGUAAUCGGAGGGUGCAAGCGUGAAUCGGAAUUACUGGGCGUAAAGCGCACGCAGGCGGUUUGUUAAGUCAGAUGUGAAAUCCCCGGGCUCAACCUGGGAACUGCAUUUGGAACUGGCAAGCUUGAGUCUCGUAGAGGGGGGUAGAAUUCCAGGUGUAGCGGUGACAUGCGUAGAGAUCUGGAGGAAUACCGGUGGCGAAGGCGGCCCCCUGGACGAAGACUGACGCUCAGGUGCGAAAGCGUGGGGAGCAAACAGGAUUAGAUACCCCAGUAGUC